GCAGUAGCAGUUAUUCCUUUCAGAAGAGCUGUGAGAAGAUGAGAGACACUGCUGCUCAUUAGACUGAUUACUUUCCAAGGGAAGUAUUCCAGUUUUAUUUAAAACUUCAAACUGGAGAUCAAGUUGCUUAUGAAGGCGUCAGACACACUUGGAUUAGACUCAUUGCAGCACCUUCAAGGAAGAAAAUGCACCAGCUGGUCACAGGCUUUACAGGUGCAAUCUUCGCAUGAGUAAUCGAGCAUUAUACAAUUGUUCACUGCUGAAGAAGAUUAUUGAAGAACUACAAACCAUGUCCAAGUGUUACAAGUCUAUAUUUGGUAUCACACUGAACUCAAAUAAAAAAGGUUGCAUGAGAUUACCGAGCAGGUUUACAGACAAGGAAUGGAGCUG